GGUUAUUGAGGAUAGUAAGGCAGCUAUCACGCCAGAGAUGGUCUUUCAAGAGAUGCAGGGUACGCCGUCCUGCCAACAACC
rnacentral:ncRNA from 1 species